AUGAUCUGGAAAGCUAAGGUACCUGAGAAAAUAAAAAUCUUCGGUUGGCGAACGGCGACCAAUUCCUUGGCCACGAAGCUAAACACAUGCAGGAGAACGAUCACCACAGAUAGUAUAUGCAGCUUGUGUGGGAAGGAGGACGAAAAUGAGUUCCAUGCGGUCAAUGUGUGUACCAGGAGUAAAGCCCUGAGAUUUACUAUGAGGCCUAUUUGGAACCUGCCAAAGGAAGACAAGUUCAGGUACACAGGAACAGACUGGCUGCAAAUACUUCUGAACUCGCAGGAUGAGAUAACCAGGCGACGUAUUCUGAUGCUAUUCUGGAAAUGCUGGAAUCUAAGAAAUGACGCCAUCCAUGGGGAUGGUAAAGGGCACCGUUCAGGGAUCGGCAAUACUCCUGACAAGGUACGAGGAGGAAUUUGCCAAUGCCCAGAUUCCGGAGAAACAGGACCGGAUGAGCAGCUACAGCCUACGUCAGUCAGCUCCAGGUACUCUUUCAGUUGCCACUACAGCAAGGUGGAUGACACCGGAGGAGGGAUGGGUGAAGUUAAACACGGAUGCCUCCUUUAUCCAAGCAUCAGGCGACAGUUGGGGAGGGGCGGUAGCAAGAGACGCGCAAGGACGAGUCCGCCUCUCGGCUUGCUUAGAAUUGGGCAAAUGUAA
rnacentral:rRNA from 1 species